rnacentral:lncRNA from 1 species
CAGUGCAGGAAUGGGACUGUGAAACACAGCUUUGCUUUGCUCUGUUUGCAGGCAGCCUCUGAGACUUGUCGGCGUCAUAAAUCAGCCUGCUCAAAGGUAGCAGCCCGGCACAUGCCCCCUGAGCAGGGAAAAGAGCUUCAGGAUGCCCAGAGGCAGGUUACGGCGGCGAACAGCUGUGUAAAAUUCACACACCUCUGGCAAGGAAAAAAAAAGGCUUUAUGAGAACACAAACAAUUUGGAAUGUGACAGCUAGAAGAAGUCCUCUUUGCUGUCAAUUGAAGCUUGUCUCAUGCACAAUGAACGGGAGAUCUUGGUAAGGAUCCUUCACAUAACAGCCAGAGUUAUGGCUAUGCAAUGUUAUAUGACUAACAGAACUGCACGUGCCAAGUAACUGGCCCGGGUGUAAUUCUCCCUUAGUAGGUAAAAAUAAAAUUGCAGUAGCAAUAUUCUGGGAGUCUAUA